UACGUAGGGUGCGAGCGUUAAUCGGAAUUACUGGGCGUAAAGCGUGCGCAGGCGGUUUUGUAAGCCAGAUGUGAAAGCCCCGGGCUUAACCUGGGAAUGGCAUUUGGGACUGCAAGGCUUGAGUGCGGCAGAGGAGACUGGAAUUCCUGGUGUAGCAGUGAAAUGCGUAGAUAUCAGGAGGAAUACCGAUGGCGAAGGCAGGUCUCUGGGCUGACACUGACGCUGAGGCGCGAAAGCCAGGGGAGCGAACGGG
rnacentral:rRNA from 1 species